AGAGUUUGAUCCUGGCUCAGGAUGAACGCUAGCGGCAGGCUUAAUACAUGCAAGUCGAGGGGCAGCGGGGGUAGCAAUACCUGCCGGCGACCGGCAAACGGGUGCGGAACACGUACAGAACCUUCCUUUAAAUGGGGAAUAGCCCAGGGAAACUUGGAUUAAUACCCCGUAACAUAGUGAAAAGGCAUCUUUUUAUUAUUAUAGAUUUAUCGCUUAAAGAUGGCUGUGCGGCUGAUUAGGUAGUUGGCGGGGUAAAGGCCCACCAAGCCUGCGAUCAGUAACUGGUGUGAGAGCACGACCAGUCACACGGGCACUGAGACACGGGCCCGACUCCUACGGGAGGCAGCAGUAAGGAAUAUUGGUCAAUGGACGAAAGUCUGAACCAGCCAUGCCGCGUGAAGGAUGAAGGUCCUCAGGAUUGUAAACUUCUUUUAUCUGGGACGAAAAAGGGAUAUUCUUAUCCACUUGACGGUACCAGAGGAAUAAGCACCGGCUAACUCCGUGCCAGCAGCCGCGGUAAUACGGAGGGUGCAAGCGUUAUCCGGAUUCACUGGGUUUAAAGGGUGCGUAGGCGGGUAGAUAAGUCAGUGGUGAAAUCUUCGAGCUUAACUCGGAAAUUGCCGUUGAUACUAUUUAUCUUGAAUAUCGUUGAGGUUUGCGGAAUAUGUCAUGUAGCGGUGAAAUGCUUAGAGAUGACAUAGAACACCUAUUGCGAAGGCAGCAGGCUAAACGAACAUUGACGCUGAGGCACGAAAGCGUGGGGAUCAAACAGGAUUAGAUACCCUAGUAGUCC
rnacentral:rRNA from 1 species